rnacentral:rRNA from 1 species
GACGAACGCUGGCGGCGUGCCUAAUACAUGCAAGUAGAACGCACAGUUUAUACCGUAGCUUGCUACACCAUAAACUGUGAGUUGCGAACGGGUGAGUAACGCGUAGGUAACCUGCCUGGUAGCGGGGGAUAACUAUUGGAAACGAUAGCUAAUACCGCAUAAUAUUGAUUAUUGCAUGAUAAUUGAUUGAAAGAUGCUAUUGCAUCACUACCUGAUGGACCUGCGUUGUAUUAGCUAGUAGGUGAGGUAACGGCUCACCUAGGCGACGAUACAUAGCCGACCUGAGAGGGUGAUCGGCCACACUGGGACUGAGACACGGCCCAGACUCCUACGGGAGGCAGCAGUAGGGAAUCUUCGGCAAUGGACGAAAGUCUGACCGAGCAACGCCGCGUGAGUGAAGAAGGUUGUCGGAUCGUAAAGCUCUGUUGUAAGAGAAGAACGGGUGUGAGAGUGGAAAGUUCACACUGUGACGGUAUCUUACCAGAAAGGGACGGCUAACUACGUG